UUUUAUCUUCGGUGAACUCAUAUUAGAAUGAGCUUAGUGGCUCAAGUGGUAAGGUGUUAGCUUACCUGAAGGUCUCGUGUUCAAAUCUCUGUGUGAGCGUGGAUGAAAUUUUUAGUUCAGUUGUGUGAUAGAGGUUCGAUGGAACCGAAACUCUAAGGUUGUUAGAAAAAGGUCAAGUUGUGGGUUACUGGGGAUCUAGUACUAGUGGGGAGUUGGGAUAUUCUCUCAUUUCUAUUUUUUAAUUAAUUCUUUUUCUCUCUCUUCUCAUUUUUUUCUUUGACAUCAUUUCUCUUUUCAUUCUCUUUUCUCUGUGCCUUCUUUUUCGUUUCUUUGUGUCUCUCCACUCUAAUCAACAAAUUGGUUGUUCUAAAAAUUAGGGGGUUCGAUAAUUCAGUUGUUUUUCAUUCAUCGGGUAAGUGCAAG
rnacentral:lncRNA from 1 species